UACGAAGGGUGCAAGCGUUGUUCGGAAUUACUGGGCGUAAAGCGCGUGUAGGCGGCUCGAUAAGUCUGCUGUGAAAGUCCAGGGCUCAACCCUGGGAUGCCGGUGGAUACUGUCGAGCUCGAGUCCGGAAGAGGCGAGUGGAAUUCCUGGUGUAGCGGUGAAAUGCGCAGAUAUCAGGAGGAACACCGAUGGCGAAGGCAGGUCUCUGGGCAUUAACUGACGCUGAGGAGCGAAAGCAUGGGGAGCGAACAGG
rnacentral:rRNA from 1 species